CACGGAAGGGGCAAGCGUUGUUCGGAAUCAUUGGGCGUAAAGGGUGCGCAGGCGGUUAAAUAAGUCUGAUGUGAAAGCCCGCAGCUUAACUGCGGAACCGCAUUGGAAACUGUUUGACUAGAGUAAAUGAGGGGAAAUCGGAAUUCCUAGUGUAGGGGUGAAAUCUGUAGAUAUUAGGAAGAACACCGAUGGCGAAGGCAGAUUUCUGGCAUUUUACUGACGCUGAGGCACGAAAGCGUGGGGAGCGAACAGG
rnacentral:rRNA from 1 species